CAAAAGCAUGUGAGACUCUGGUGGGAGGGGACUCCCAGCAUCUUUUGCGCCUGAGCAAGGUGCCCUUCUUUUUUCAUGGGGUGGCGACCACCUUUUAAGUGAUCUUUCCAUUUCAAUCCACAGGCAAACUUUUAUGAUAAAGUCAGGCUUUUUUUAUAUUAAAAAGCAUAGCACUCAGUUUCAUAGAUUCGUUUUGUGAGAGUGAUUUCCAGCAAACUUCAGUCACAAGAAGGAUAGAAUUGAACCCAGAAAGUUCUUACGCAGUGCUCCACUAGCAAAGCAAAUUCUUGUACUCCUCGACCUGCUAAUUCUGCUGGUUGCUUGGAGAUUGGCUUUCCACUCUCUUAGAAUCUCCUCCUCUCAAGGCCGGAUGUUUUUUCUCAUGCAAAACUCAAAAGUUGACGGAGCCUAUCUGGUGGGAAGGGCACAGGAAUCUGAUGCGAGGAUAGAAGUGUGUGUGUGACAAAAACAAGGAAUUUAACCGCAGAAAGUGUAAAGUAGAUCGAUCGCCAUGGAAAACAAAACGGGCGUGGAGCAUCUAGUAUUUUGUUAAACAAAGCAACUCAGAAAUUGUUGGACAAUCAAUAUGCGAAGAUUGAGUGAGAAGAUGAUUAUCACUGAUAUGAUAAUCAACGUGUGAUUGCCUGUGCUAAUUUCUCUCCGACAGCAGCAGCAUUAUAGCUAACAGAUGUAUUGGCUUUCCUUUGACAGUGCUGCAAUAAUAAAAAAUAAAACUUUCCCUGUACACAAUGCUUUCCUUGUAAAUCUUGUUCAUUGUGCUGUAUAAAACGUAAUGAAAAGAGAUUGGUACCGUUAG